rnacentral:rRNA from 1 species
UACGUAGGGGGCAAGCGUUGUCCGGAAUCAUUGGGCGUAAAGCGCGUGUAGGCGGCCCAGUAAGUCCGCUCUGAAAGCCCGGGGCUCAACCCCGGGAGGCGGGUGGAUACUGCUGGGCUCGAGUCCGGAAGAGGCGAGUGGAAUUCCUGGUGUAGCGGUGAAAUGCGUAGAUAUCAAGUGGAACACCAGUGGCGAAGGCGAGUCUCUGGACAUUUCCUGACGCUGAGGCACGAAAGCCAGGGGAGCAAACGGG